ACGGCACUUUCUUAGAUAGAGACCCACCACCAUGAGGUUCUUGGAUGAGACUCACCACCAUGAGGUUCUUAGAUAGAGACUCACCACCAUGAGGUUCUUAGAUAGAGACUCACCACCACGAGGUUCUUAGAUAGAGACCCACCACCAUGAGGUUCUUAGAUAGAGACUCACCACCAUGAGGUUCUUGGAUGAGACUCACCACCACGAGGUUCUUGGAUAGAGACUCACCACCAUGAGGUUCUUGGAUAGAGACUCACCACCAUGAGGUUCUUGGAUAGAUACUCACCACCAUGAGGUUCUUGGAGACCCAGCAGUCGGAGGGGAAGUCCUGCAGCAUGGGGACCAGGAACUGGAGACAUCCG